UCAUAUUCUUUCCAAAGCGGUUCAUUUUCCUUAUCACUGUUGGACAAACAUUAGAAUUCCAUCUUUGACUUUCCUUAUUCAUGUGGCAAACCUGUUCAUAAAAGUAUAUCUUAGAUUUUCAAAGAGGUUAGGCUUAACAAGAAAAAACCUGAAAGGUACAAUGUUUUCAAAAUGUAUUAUCCUAAUAAGAAAAAAAAAGUUAAAAGAUAACAUUUAAAUAUGUUAUAUCUCAAAAAUAAAAUGUUGUCUUAAUCNUUUAAAACAGAAAAAAGUUUAAAAAAAAAAAAAAAAAAAAAUUAUAAUUAAAAAAAAAAAUUCAAAUCUAAUAAUAUUAGAUUUUCAAAGUGUAUUGCUUUAAUAAGAAAAAGGUUGAAUAGUAGAAGUUUUUAAAGUUACAAAGUCUUAAUAGGUGAGAUUUUUAAAGUGCAAUGUCUCCAUCAGGAAGGUAUUAAAUGAGCGUCUUAAUAUGUUAGAUAUUAGCAGUACAACACUAUAAUUUAAAUAGUAAUAUUUAAGAUGCUUAAAGCACAUUGUCUUAAUAUGAAAAAAGAUAUACAAUGUUAGUGAUGGGAACAUAAAUCAUAGAUGCUUAGAUUUUCAAAGUACAAUGGCUUAAUAGUAAAAGAUUAUAAGAAAAAAAAAAUCUUUAUAGCUAUAUUUUACAAUUGUCUACACAUUCAAAGUACAAUGUUAUAAUUGUCUAGAUUUUUCAAGUAUAGUGUCUUAGUAGGGAAAAAAUAAAAGUAAAAUGUCUAAAUAUGUUAGAUUUUCAAAGUAUAAAAGUCAGUGUAAAGUUUUAAUGCGGUUAAUGCAAAUUCCAAAUUUACCCUUCCGAGUAUAUUUUUAAAUUAUCUUAAUACAACAUUUAUUUUUAUUUCAAAUAUACAUGCAUCUCGUCCUUAAUGGUUGUUUUCGUUUUCACAAAUCAUUUGUGUUUGUGUGUGUGUGUGUGUGUGUGUAUAUAUAUAUAUAUAUNNNNNNNNNNNNNNNNNNNNNNNNNNNNNUAGAUUUUAAAACACAUUUUCUUAAUAUGAAAAAAACUAAAAGUUCAAUUUAUUAAUUUAGAUUUUCAAAAUACAAUGUCUUAAUAGGAAAAAAAAAUAGAAGAAAAUAUCUUAAUAGGCCAGAUUAAAAGUACUAUGUUGUAGUUGUCUAGAUUUCCAAAGUACAUUAUCUAUGUAGGAAAAAAAAGUAUAAUGUCUAAUAAUAUUAGAUUUUCCAAGUGUAAAGUUUUAAUAAGAAAAAGUUCAAAGGUAAAUAAUUUGCAAAGUUUGUUGUCUUAAUAAGAAAAAGAAAUACAAAUUACACUGUUUAAUUAUGUUAGAUUUUGAAUAUAAAAUGCUAUAUAUGUUUACCAAAAUCAAACAAGUUUAGAUUUUCAAAAUAAUAAAAAAACAAACAUGUUUAGUUUUUCGAAGUAGAGUGUGACUAGAUAGAAAAAAUAAUAAAAUUACAGUGUCUUAAUAAAAUGCUAUAUAUGUUUACCAAAAUCAAACAAGUUUAGAUUUUCAAAAUAAUAAAAAAACAAACAUGUUUAGUUUUUUGAAGUAGAGUGUGACUAGAUAGAAAAAAUAAUAAAAUUACAGUGUCUUAAUAGAUUUGAUUAUGAAAUUACAAUGUUUUAAUAGAAGGUUAUAUACCUUAUUAGACAUUUUAUUGUUACCUUAUUAGACAUUUUACAUGUAUAUUAAGUAAUCAGCAAAGUAUAGUUUGGUUUAUUACCUUGUCUGUAACACCUCCCAUAACUUUAAUGUUUUAUCAUAUUCAGAUACCCUGAAACCAUGUGAUACUUUUUAAUUAGUAUUUUAGUUAGUGAGGGUAGAAGAGUAAAUUUACUUGCCUUUCGAGUUGGAUCAGAAUCCAACAGAAACAGAAAGCAGUUGUUUUGUUUGAAGUAAUUGUGUAAUGGGCUGUUGAAUAGUUCCACCAGCUUCCCUAUCAAAACAAUAAUAGACAUG
rnacentral:lncRNA from 1 species